rnacentral:rRNA from 1 species
CACGUAGGGCGCGAGCGUUGUCCGGAAUUAUUGGGCGUAAAGAGCUCGUAGGCGGCCUGUUGCGUCCGCUGUGAAAGCCCGGGGCUUAACCCCGGGUCUGCAGUGGAUACGGGCAGGCUAGAGGUAGGUAGGGGAGAAUGGAAUUCCUGGUGUAGCGGUGAAAUGCGUAGAUAUCUGGAGGAACACCGGUGGCGAAGGCGGCAUCCUGGACCGGCAUUGACGCUGAGGCGCGAAAGCAUGGUAUCAAACUGG